rnacentral:rRNA from 1 species
UACGAAGGGGGCUAGCGUUGCUCGGAAUCACUGGGCGUAAAGCGCACGUAGGCGGGUCGUUAAGUCGGGGGUGAAAUCCUGGAGCUCAACUCCAGAACUGCCUUCGAUACUGGCGAUCUUGAGUCUGGGAGAGGUGAGUGGAACUCCGAGUGUAGAGGUGAAAUUCGUAGAUAUUCGGAAGAACACCAGUGGCGAAGGCGGCUCUCUGGGACGGUACUGACGCUGAGACGCGAAAGCGUGGGGAGCGAACAGG